rnacentral:rRNA from 1 species
GAACACGGAAGUUAAGCUCUUCAGGGCCGAUGGUACUUGGGCUUGUCCUUGGGAGAGUAGGUCGUUGCCGGAC